rfam:Jatropha curcas cultivar GZQX0401 scaffold729_8, whole genome shotgun sequence.
GCGACCUUACUUGAACAGGAUCUGUUCAUUAGGCUCGUACCUCUAUAUCCUUGAGUUCAAAGGAGAUAGGAAUCCAAGUCUGGUUGACGAACCAUGACUUUCUAACCAUAGCGUGAGUAAUAGCCUUGUAGUCCCUGUAUAGGCAGUGGAGGAUCGUCCUCAGUCAAUGUUGAAUGGCCUGAGAUGGUCACAGAGUAGUCUGACAGACU